GAAAUGCGAUAAGUAAUGUGAAUUGCAGAAUUCAGUGAAUCAUCGAAUCUUUGAACGCACCUUGCGCUCCUUGGUUUUCCUUGGAGCAUGCCUGUUUGAGUAUCAUGAAAUCUUCAAAGUAAAUCUUUUGUUAACUCAAUUGGUUUCUACUUUGGUAUUGGAGGUCUUUGCAGCUUCACACCUGCUCCUCUUUGUUCAUUAGCUGGAUCUCAGUGUUAUGCUUGGUUCCACUCGGCGUGAUAAGUUAUCUAUCGCUGAGGACACUGUAAAAGGUGGCCAAGGUAAAUGCAGAUGAACCGCUUCUAAUAGUCCAUUGACUUGGACAAUACUUUUAUGAUCUGAUCUCAAAUCAGGUAGGAAUACCCGCUGAACUUAAGC
rnacentral:misc_RNA from 1 species